AUGAUGAACCCAUGUGGAAGCCCAUUAACAUACAGUUGCAACAUGUACACUUUUGAGUUAACCUUCGGUAAUUAUUUUGCUGAUAGUGGAACCCGGUCCAUUGAUUGGAUCGUAAGGAAAAAAGAAAAAGAAAUAAAUUAUUUUGCUGGGUUCAUUCUUGCUGACGAUAGUCAUGAUUUUCAAAACAAACGUCUGCAUUCACAUGAGAGCUAUACACUACAACCCUGUGUGUAUGCAAAUAUUUAUUUUCUUCUCACGUUCGCCCCAGCUAACCAUGUCAUACUAAUGCAUAUCCAUGGUGGCAAGAAGAAAUGA
rnacentral:rRNA from 1 species